UCAAACCCUCGAAACGUUUGCAAUAUGCAUAUAAAAUUCACGCUGCUUUUAAUUGCAGCGCUCAUAGCGCUGGCAACGAGUUUUGUAGCGCCCGAUUGUCCACAUUGGAGCAAAUGCUGGCGCGACUAUAAACGCGGAAAAAUUGUUUAUUAAGCUGCAAACACUAAUUUAGUCUAAAUAUUAGUAUAAUAAAUAUAAUUUAUUUGUGCAACGCAAUAAAAAUCUAUUUGCCAUUAGCUUAAAUACGCUUUUAAGGCGAUUAGUUUGCAAUGCGCAGCAACUAAA